rnacentral:rRNA from 1 species
GAAAAAAAGAAAGCAUUGCCUUCUUUACUAUAUCUUGUAUUUAUCGUACUUUUGCCUUGGGGGGUCUCUUCCUCAUUUAACAAAUGUCUGGAACUUUGGAUUAAGAAUUGGUGGAAUACCAGGCAAUCCGAAACUCUCUUAACUGAUAUUCAAGAGAAAAGGAUUCUAGAAAGAUUCAUAUAAUUAGAAGAACUUUCUCUCUUGGACGAGAUGAUAAAAGGGAAACUAAAGACACAUGUACAAAAACCUCCUACAGGCAUACACAAGGAAAUAAUACAAUGGGUCAAAAUAAAUAAUGAGGAUCAUCUCCAUACCAUUUUGCAUUUCGCGACAAAUAUAAUCUGUGUGGCUAUUCUAAGUGGUUCUUUUUUUCUGGGUAAAGAGGAUCUUGUCAUUUUGAAUUCUUGGGUUCAGGAAUUCUUCUAUAAUUUAAAUGACUCAAUAAAAGCUUUUUUUAUUCUUUUAGUUACUGAUUUUUUUGUUGGAUUUCACUCCACCCGUGGUUGGGAACUAGUAAUUCGUUGGGUCUACAACGAUUUUGGAUGGGCUCCUAACGAGCUUAUUUUCACUAUUUUUGUUUGUACUUUUCCAGUAAUUCUAGAUACAUGUUUGAAAUUUUGGGUCUUUUUUUGUUUAAAUCGUCUAUCUCCUUCGCUUGUAGUCAUUUAUCAUUCAAUUAGUGAAGCAUAA